rnacentral:misc_RNA from 1 species
CAAGUCACCAUGCCCGACGCUCUAUGCACUCCACCCAAGCUCUGUUCCUCAUCGAUGUCUCCCUCACCCCGCAUCCCAGCAAGCGAGCAAGAUGCUAGAAAGCGACACGGAAUAGACGAGUCCCGUCUCUUGCGGUCGCCGUGCACGGAGAAGGCUGAGCAGAUCCUGCUUCUUCAAGCGUCACAGGUACUUCUGCUUGGUCCCCUCAGAAGUCGCGUGUCUGUCGCACACGCUUCCGCUUUUAGCUGGCGUACUUCGAGUUCCUCGGUUACUGUGUGGAGUGCUGCGAAGCUGUCUACACGUCUGCGAGUGCGUCGCGGCAUUUCUUGUAUCUGCUCUCUGAGAAACGGAGCAGACGAAAGGAAGAAAAAUGUAAGAGGCAAGGUAACUCGGACGCGACUAUUGCGAAGCUUUUCAGAUACGCCUCUGCCGGAGGCGCCCUAAUCAGCAAGUGUAUUGCAAGCAUCGAGUGCACCAAGAGGUGCCGAUCAAGGCGCUUCUACACCACUUCGAGAGCACGCGGCGAGUAUGUGAAGGUGGUCAUCGAACAUCCGCAGCAGCUCGGUGGUGCGGCGGACGCCGCAACAGACGCAUGGCACCGGUGCAUACUGCGUGUAGCACACACAUCAAGCACACACACGCCCCCAUUAAGAAACAAGGUGCUGCUUGUGUGAGCCGAAUGAAUACGCCUGCUCGACCGCUACGAAGCGGAGUGAUUGGAGGGAGCAAUCCGCGACAUGUAUAAAUGGCGUGGCACAGCGUUCACAUACAGCUGAAACAGCAUCCAAGUGUCUCCUCAGAUGAAGGGCGCAUGCUCUUCUUCCUUCUUUUCCUCUCUACGAGAGUCUUCUUGUCGCUUCAUUUGGCUUCGCCGAUGGGGCUGUGUGUUGAGAUGCAUAGGUGCGUCUGGGGCUGGUUUGCGUGUUCAUCUGUGUGUGCGUGGGGGCUCUAUUUCGGCCAGGCAUCAGCCCACACCGCCACGAUAUCAUCCCUAUCAACUCUCGCGCAGCAUCUUUCGCUCUGUUUUCUUCUUCCCAUUUUCAGCGUCCAUCCCCUCCUAUCCCGCUCGCUGGGACUUUUGCCUUUUCGCACUCAUCAGCUCUGCUGCGGAUGACGCUGAUGAGGAUCCUGCUGCUGCCGCUCUUUGCUUCCUUUCCUUUCGUCUUGUGUGUUGUGUACACGCGGGUGUGUGGGGCGCGGAGCGGUUGCGGGCCUAUGAUUCUCACGCUUCAUUCCAUUUUUUCUGCUGCCCUCUCCCCUCCACCCCCCCCGCCCAUGGGAGAGCUUCGCAGCGCCUCUUGCCCUGUCUUUUCUCGGCACUCACGCGUACGUGCGGCGAAGCACAGGGUGACAGAAUGGAGCUGCCGUUUAUUUGCUUUUGUUUUUUUUUCUGCUGUGGUGCUCCCCUCCUCGUUCUCCCCAGCGGCCAUGCGCCCACGCAUAUGAACGCGCGCUCACGAAAUCUGCCUCUUGAGCAGGAGAGGCAUCCGCAAGAUGUCUGCACAGCUCAACUGACACUCCCCCUCCUCCACGCACACGCAUGCACACGUCUUCAUCGUUCCGCUGCUUCUCAUGUGCAUACUGCCUUCGUCUGCUUCUCUGCUUUCAUGUUCCCGUCUUGCUCGUCUGGACCGCGGUGGUUGGCCGGAAGGCUGAUCAGCAGCCCUGUGGGCUGCUUCUUAUGACGCAACGAGGAGAGCUUCGCGUUUAGCGGGUGCCUCAGUGAAAUGAAGCACGCUGGCGGCCCAAAACGCCUCCGUGCAAAAAGGCAGAGACGUGUGUGCCGGUGCCUGCUCACCAACGGGAUGCUGGGCGGCGCUCUAUCUGUCCCAGAUGUCUCUCUUCCCGCCCGCGCCGCCGCUCUCACGGGUAUCAACGAACAUGCACAGUAGCGCUUGCUGAACCAUGAAGCGAAUCCGAUCCCUCUUUUCUUCGCUGCUCCCUCUACUUCUCAUCUGCGCUUCCCCCUCUCUCUAUAUAUACAUUACCGAUCCUGUGUUGUCCUACGAUGGCCUCUCCGCAAUACAG